AAUAAUAUUAUUUUAUUAUUUAGUCUCCUAUGGUAUUCUAGCAUUUUCCUAUAAAUAGACACUUAGGUUAGAAUUGAAAAUCACACCAGAAACAAGUUUUCUUUCUCUCUAGAUUAUCGAGCGUAUUUUUGUGAGUAUUUUGAUACUUUGAGAGUUGUUGUUCGGUACAAGUUUCCUUCGGCUUUCUAUCCGAUAUUCCG
rnacentral:lncRNA from 1 species